ACUUAUACAGCUGAGUGAGUAUAAUUUUAUGGAUGAGAAAUUGUGUUCAACCAAUUGAUAACUUAUUUGAAAAAGUAACUAGCAUGUUAGAUAACAAGGAAGCCAAUGGAUGGAGAAAAUGUUGUUAUACAUAAUUUGGUCUAUGAAGUGCCCCAUAAAAGAUUACCGCAUUAGAUAAGCACCUGUGGACUUGAACGUAAUAGGUUAAGUCCAGGGGGAAUAUAGAAGUUGGGAUGUAAUGUUAAAAUUGUACAAGGCAUUGG